rnacentral:rRNA from 1 species
GUCCUUUUGGUUUAUAUAUAAGGUCUAGCCUGCCCACUGAUAAAAUUAAAUGGCCGCAGUAAUUUGACUGUGCAAAGGUAGCAUAAUCAUUAGUUUUUUAAUUAAAAGCUUGUAUGAAUGGUUGGACGAAAUAAAAGCUGUCUCUAUUUAAUUUAUUAUAGAAUUUAAUUUUUAAGUUAAAAAGCUUAAAUAUUUUUUAAAGACGAGAAGACCCUAUAGAUCUUUAUAUUAAUUAUAAUAGUUUUAUUUAGUAAUUUUUAAUUAUUUUAUUAUAAUUAGUAUUUUAUUGGGGUAAUAUAAAGAUUUGAAAAAUUCUUUAAUUUUAUUACAUUGAUUUAUGAUUAUUUUGAUCUUUUAGUAAAGAUUAUUAGAUUAAGUUACCUUAGGGAUAACAGCGUAAUUUUUUUAGAGAGUUCAUAUCGAUAAAAAAGUUUGCGACCUCGAUGUUGGAUUAAAAAUUAUCUUAGGUGCAGAAGUUUAGGAUUUUGGUCUGUUCGACCAUUAAAUUUUUACA